rnacentral:lncRNA from 1 species
GAGAAGACUAAUCAGAUGGCUGCUACCAUUAAACAACUUGAACAAAGUGAAAAGGAUUUGGUGAAACAGGCAAAGACCUUAAAUAGUGCAGCAAAUAAACUGAUCCCAAAACAUCAUUAGGCAUUUUUAAGUUGGUCACGUCGCAAGUCCGAUAUCACAACUUAAUUGUAAAAGGAAGAAAUCUGAAAGUUACUACAUUUAAGCUCUGAUUCUAUAUAAAAUGUCACCAAAAAGUUGACUUUGAAUUUGUUGGACUUUUAAAAAACCAGUUGGAAAUAUAGGUUGGGUUUUUUUCUUAUUGUUUUCUCCCCAGGGUUAGAAAAAUUGGUAUAAGUUCCUAAUUAAAAGCUGAAUAAACUUUGAGAAAUUAUUUCUGAGUUGACCAAUAAAUAAAAAUACCACUUUCUUUAAAAAAGCCUAGGGAAUUGAAGCUCUGUACAUAUACUAAUGAUGCCUUUACAACCCAGUCCUUGAUAAUACCAGAUUCUCGGUGCAUUGUUCAUGUCUGUAUCUGCAAGCCUGUUCUGCCAUUGCAGUGUGAUGAACCUAGAGGUAACUACCAUGUGAACUUGAACUCUUCUAAAAUAGUUCUGUGUCUCUUAGACCAUGACCCCUUUUCACUUUUGUUAUAUAGGUUUAAUCCCCAAGCCAAGGAUAGUACUUAGUAUUUCACUACACUUCUAUUCUCAGUAACCAAGAUUGCUUGCAACUUUUUUUGCCUUGGUGACUUUUG